UGGUGGAGUGAUUUGUCUGGUUUAUUCCGUUAACGAACGAGACCCCCGCCUGCUAAAUAGUGGCGAGAAUGAUUUUGUUCGCCAAAGGCCCGCUGUCAGUUGUAAGUGCUCCAUGUGGCUCCUUCGGGACCCGUGCGAGCCUGCUGGGGCGGUAACCUGAACACUAACAUUUUCGAUAAGCUUGCGCUGUCCUUGUCCUCCGGGACCUGCAGACAGGCCAGCAAGUCACCA
rnacentral:rRNA from 1 species